AGAGUUUGAUCCUGGCUCAGGAUGAACGCUAGCGGCAGGCUUAACACAUGCAAGUCGAGGGGUAACAGAGGUAGCUUGCUACUUGCUGACGACCGGCGCACGGGUGCGUAACGCGUAUAGAAUCUACCUUGUACUAGGGGAUAGCCUUUGGAAACGAAGAUUAACACCCUAUAGUAAGUAUUUAUGGCAUCAUUUAUACUUUAAAGGUUACGGUACAAGAUGACUAUGCGUCCUAUUAGUUUGUUGGUGAGGUAACGGCUCACUAAGACUUCGAUAGGUAGGGGCCCUGAGAGGGGGAUCCCCCACACUGGUACUGAGACACGGACCAGACUCCUACGGGAGGCAGCAGUGAGGAAUAUUGGACAAUGGAGGCAACUCUGAUCCAGCCAUGCCGCGUGCAGGAUGACGGCCCUAUGGGUUGUAAACUGCUUUUAUGUAGGAAGAAACACUCUCACGUGUGAGAGCUUGACGGUACUACAAGAAUAAGGACCGGCUAACUCCGUGCCAGCAGCCGCGGUAAUACGGAGGGUCCAAGCGUUAUCCGGAAUCAUUGGGUUUAAAGGGUCCGUAGGCGGGCUAUUAAGUCAGAGGUGAAAGUUUGCAGCUCAACUGUAAAAUUGCCUUUGAAACUGGUAGUCUUGAAUUAUUAUGAAGUGGUUAGAAUAAGUAGUGUAGCGGUGAAAUGCAUAGAUAUUACUUAGAAUACCAAUUGCGAAGGCAGAUCACUAAUAAUAUAUUGACGCUGAGGGACGAAAGCGUGGGGAGCGAACAGGAUUAGAUA
rnacentral:rRNA from 1 species